rnacentral:rRNA from 1 species
UACAGAGGUCUCAAGCGUUGUUCGGAUUCAUUGGGCGUAAAGGGCGCGUAGGCGGCCUUCUAAGUCGGACGUGAAAUCCCUCGGCUUAACCGAGGAACUGCGUCCGAUACUGAAAGGCUUGAAUCCGGGAGAGGGAUGUGGAAUUCCAGGUGUAGCGGUGAAAUGCGUAGAUAUCUGGAGGAACACCGGUGGCGAAGGCGGCAUCCUGGACCGGCAUUGACGCUGAGGCGCGAAAGCUAGGGGAGCAAACGGG